GAUGAACGCUAGCGGCAGGCUUAACACAUGCAAGUCGAGGGGCAGCAUGACGGAACCUUCGGGUUUUGUUGAUGGCGACCGGCGCAAGGGUGCGUAACGCGUGAGCAACUUGCCCGUUUCUGGGGAAUAACCGGUGGAAACGCCGACUAAUACCCCAUAGUAUCAUUAUUAGGCAUCUUUUGAAGUUGAAAGUUCAGGCGGUUAUGGAUGGGCAUGCGUUGUAUUAGCUAGAUGGUGAGGUAACGGCUCACCAUGGCUACGAUACAUAGGGGGACUGAGAGGUUAACCCCCCACACUGGUACUGAGACACGGACCAGACUCCUACGGGAGGCAGCAGUGAGGAAUAUUGGUCAAUGGACGCAAGUCUGAACCAGCCAUGCCGCGUGCAGGAUGACGGCUCUAUGAGUUGUAAACUGCUUUUGUACAAGGGUAAACCCUGGGACGUGUCCCAGGCUGAAAGUACUGUACGAAUAAGGAUCGGCUAACUCCGUGCCAGCAG
rnacentral:rRNA from 1 species